CUCGUAGGCGGUUUGUCGCGUCGGGAGUGAAAACAUCCAGCUUAACUGGGUGCUUGCUUUCGAUACGGGCAGACUAGAGGUAUGCAGGGGAGAACGGAAUUCCUGGUGUAGCGGUGAAAUGCGCAGAUAUCAGGAGGAACACCGGUGGCGAAGGCGGUUCUCUGGGCAUGAUCUGACGCUGAGGAGCGAAAGUGUGGGGAGCGAACA
rnacentral:rRNA from 1 species